AGAUUGAACGCUGGCGGCAGGCCUAACACAUGCAAGUCGAGCGGCAGCACGGGUACUUGUACCUGGUGGCGAGCGGCGGACGGGUGAGUAAUGCCUAGGAAUCUGCCUGGUAGUGGGGGAUAACGCUCGGAAACGGACGCUAAUACCGCAUACGUCCUACGGGAGAAAGCAGGGGACCUUCGGGCCUUGCGCUAUCAGAUCGAGCCUAGGUCGGAUUAGCUAGUUGGUGAGGUAAUGGCUCACCAAGGCGACGAUCCGUAACUGGUCUGAGAGGAUGAUCAGUCACAUGGAACUGAGACACGGUCCAGGACUCCUACGGGAGCAGCGAGGUAGGGGAAUAGUUGGACAAGUGGGACGAAGCCUAGAUUACCAGACCCAUGCCGCGUGGUGUGAAACGGUAAGGUCGUUACGGUAUUACGUUAAAG
rnacentral:rRNA from 1 species